UCUGUCCUCCCAAGAAGCAGUACAGACAUUGAAUCUCUUCAGGUCCAAGGAGUCUCAGUUUAGGGUGCAUCUUCCUGCGAUACCACUCCACAAAUGGGAUCAGCCCCCAAUGAAUUACUUGGUUGUCUUAGGUCAACAGCUGCUCACUGAAUUAAUGAAAAGCCCCAGCAGAUCAUAAGGGAGAGGAAGCCCAGGUGGCUACAAAUGAAAGCCAUCCAAGAAGUCUGAGCCUGUGAAGUCCCAGAUGCCUGCCUCCACCUGGGCCAGUCUUUUCAUAAAUUCACUCACUUGUUAUGUAUUUAUAUAUUUAGCAUAUCUAUCUAUCUAUCUAUCUAUCUAUCUAUCUAUCUAUCUAUCUAUCUAUCUAUGCCGAUAUUGCCCAGAAAUAGUAGAUGGAUCAGACAAUGAUUUACUUGCAAAAUUAGAUUACUUUUGAGGAGACAAGAAGGUGCUGAGCCAAGAAUUAGUAAUUUCAGAUGAUGGUCAUGAUCUUUGUGUAACUUAGAAUAUUAAAAUAAAAAUGAAUAAAAUAAAACACUUGGGAAUUGGUAAUUCAAGGGUCUGAUUUCUAUUUAUUCCUCAUAAGAGCACAGUGCACAGCAUUUGCUCCCUGAAAUCUGUCAACUACAAAAGUUUGAAGACAUGCUAAAAUGUAAUAACCUACGGUAUAUGGUACAAUAAUUGAGAGUAAAUUAACACUACUUGGAGCAAAAUAUAAUCAUCUCUGCUGAAAUUUGUCCAGAACACCAAGCCUAACACUCCAAGUCUUAUAAAAGAUG